AGAGUUUGAUCCUGGCUCAGAUUGAACGCUGGCGGCAUGCCUUACACAUGCAAGUCGAACGGUAACAGGUCUUCGGACGCUGACGAGUGGCGAACGGGUGAGUAAUACAUCGGAACGUGCCCAGUCGUGGGGGAUAACUACUCGAAAGAGUAGCUAAUACCGCAUACGAUCUGAGGAUGAAAGCGGGGGACCUUCGGGCCUCGCGCGAUUGGAGCGGCCGAUGGCAGAUUAGGCAGUUGGUGGGAUAAAAGCUUACCAAGCCGACGAUCUGUAGCUGGUCUGAGAGGACGACCAGCCACACUGGGACUGAGACACGGCCCAGACUCCUACGGGAGGCAGCAGUGGGGAAUUUUGGACAAUGGGCGAAAGCCUGAUCCAGCAAUGCCGCGUGCAGGAUGAAGGCCUUCGGGUUGUAAACUGCUUUUGUACGGAACGAAAAAGCUUCUCCUAAUACGAGAGGCCCAUGACGGUACCGUAAGAAUAAGCACCGGCUAACUACGUGCCAGCAGCCGCGGUAAUACGUAGGGUGCGAGCGUUAAUCGGAAUUACUGGGCGUAAAGCGUGCGCAGGCGGUUAUGUAAGACAGAUGUGAAAUCCCCGGGCUCAACCUGGGAACUGCAUUUGUGACUGCAUGGCUAGAGUACGGUAGAGGGGGAUGGAAUUCCGCGUGUAGCAGUGAAAUGCGUAGAUAUGCGGAGGAACACCGAUGGCGAAGGCAAUCCCCUGGACCUGUACUGACGCUCAUGCACGAAAGCGUG
rnacentral:rRNA from 1 species